CCUACGGGAGGCAGCAGUGAGGAAUAUUGGUCAAUGGCCGGAAGGCUGAACCAGCCAUGCCGCGUGAAGGAUGAAGGUUUUCGGAUUGUAAACUCCUUUUGUUAGAGAAGAUAAUGACGGUAUCUAACGAAUAAGCACCGGCUAACUCCGUGCCAGCAGCCGCGGUAAUACGGAGGGUGCAAGCGUUACUCGGAAUCACUGGGCUUAAAGAGCGCGUAGGCGGGAUAGCAAGUCAGAUGUGAAAUCCUAUGGCUUAACCAUAGAACUGCAUUUGAAACUGUUAUUCUAGAGUAUGGGAGAGGUAGGUGGAAUGCUUGGUGGAGGGGUAAAAUCCGUAGAGAUCAAGAGGAAUACUCAUUGCGAAGGCGACCUGCUAGAACAUAACUGACGCUGAUGCACGAAAGCGUGGGUAUCAAACAGGAUUAGAUACCCGAGUAGUC
rnacentral:rRNA from 1 species